rnacentral:rRNA from 1 species
CCUACGGGAGGCAGCAGUGGGGAAUAUUGCACAAUGGGGGAAACCCUGAUGCAGCGACGCCGCGUGAGUGAAGAAGUAAUUCGUUAUGUAAAGCUCUAUCAGCAGGGAAGAAAAUGACGGUACCUGUGUAAGAAGCCCCGGCUAACUACGUGCCAGCAGCCGCGGUAAUCCGGAGGGGGCAAGCGUUAUCCGGAUGUACUGGGUGUAAAGUGAGCGUAGACGGCAGUGCAAGUCUGGAGUGAAAGGCGGGGGCUCAACCCCCGGACUGCUCUGGAAACUGGACGGCUGGAGUGCAGGAGAGGUAAGUGGAAUUCCUAGUGUAGCGGUGAAAUGCGUAGAUAUUAGGAGGAACACCAGUGGCGAAGGCGGCUUACUGGACUGUAACUGACGUUGAGGCUCGAAAGCGUGGGGAGCAAACAGGAUUAGAUACCCUAGUAGUC